AUCGCUUCUCGGCCUUUUGGCUAAGAUCAAGUGUAGAAUUCAAGGGUCUGCCUUCAUUUUCUUCCACAUAAAAAGCUUUUUUGGUCAUUCACUGCUA
rnacentral:snRNA from 1 species